GAUGAACGCUGGCGGCGUGCCUAAUACAUGCAAGUCGAGCGAACGGACGAGAAGCUUGCUUCUCUGAUGUUAGCGGCGGACGGGUGAGUAACACGUGGAUAACCUACCUAUAAGACUGGGAUAACUUCGGGAAACCGGAGCUAAUACCGGAUGAUAUUUUGAACCGCAUGGUUCAAAAGUGAAAGACGGUCUUGCUGUCACUUAUAGAUGGAUCCGCGCUGCAUUAGCUAGUUGGUAAGGUAACGGCUUACCAAGGCAACGAUGCAUAGCCGACCUGAGAGGGUGAUCGGCCACACUGGAACUGAGACACGGUCCAGACUCCUACGGGAGGCAGCAGUAGGGAAUCUUCCGCAACGGGCGAAAGCCUGACGGAGCAACGCCACGUGAGUGAUGAAGGUCUUCGGAUCGUAAAACUCUGUUAUUAGGGAAGAACAUAUGUGUAAGUAACUGUGCACAUCUUGACGGUACCUAAUCAGAAAGCCACGGCUAACUACGUG
rnacentral:rRNA from 1 species